AGCAGGGAAGAAGCGAAAGUGACGGUACCUGCAGAAAAAGCGCCGGGCUAACUACGUGCCAGCAGCCGCGGUAAUACGUAGGGCGCAAGCGUUAUCCGGGAAUUAUUGGGCGUAAAGAGCUCGUAGGCGGUCUGUCGCGUCUGCUGUGAAAACCCGAGGCUCAACCUCGGGCUGCAGUGGGUACGGGCAGACUAGAGUGCGGUAGGGGAGAUUGGAAUUCCUGGUGUAGCGGUGGAAUGCGCAGAUAUCAGGAGGAACACCGAUGGCGAAGGCAGAUCUCUGGGCCGUAACUGACGCUGAGGAGCGAAAGGGUGGGGAGCAAACAGGCUUAGAUACCCUGGUAGUCCACCCCGUAAACGUUGGGAACUAGUUGUGGGGUCCAUUCCACGGAUUCCGUGACGCAGCUAACGCAUUAAGUUCCCCGCCUGGGGAGUACGGCCGCAAGGCUAAAACUCAAAGGAAUUGACGGGGACCCGCACAAGCGGCGGAGCAUGCGGAUUAAUUCGAUGCAACGCGAAGAACCUUACCAAGGCUUGACAUAUAGAGGAAACGGCUGGAAACAGUCGCCCCGCAAGGUCUCUAUACAGGUGGUGCAUGGUUGUCGUCAGCUCGUGUCGUGAGAUGUUGGGUUAAGUCCCGCAACGAGCGCAACCCUCGUUCUAUGUUGCCAGCACGUAAUGGUGGGAACUCAUGGGAUACUGCCGGGGUCAACUCGGAGGAAGGUGGGGAUGACGUCAAAUCAUCAUGCCCCUUAUGUCUUGGGCUUCACGCAUGCUACAAUGGCCGGUACAAAGGGCUGCAAUACCGUGAGGUGGAGCGAAUCCCAAAAAGCCGGUCCCAGUUCGGAUUGAGGUCUGCAACUCGACCUCAUGAAGUCGGAGUCA
rnacentral:rRNA from 1 species